GUACUGCUACUGUGUAUCGUACAUCAAAAUUAGAGUGAUUUUCAGCAAUAAAGUAAGUUAAGUGGAGCCUGCACAAUAAGAGAAAAGUCUGUCACUAAUGUUAAAUAUGUACAAUAAUCUGUUAUCACAACAAGAAAAAUUGACAACAAAUGCAAGCAUUGGGAGAAACUUUUUUUGGAAAGUGCUGUUUAUGAAAAAAGAUAUGAAUUCAUUAUAAACAGAGCAAUAAAUUUAUGCUGUGUUCCCAACACAUUGGGAACACAGCAAAAUUACGGAGUGCAUUGGAAGUUGUCAAGUCAACAAAUGUAAACAGUUUUGAGAAAAAAUUAGACAA
rnacentral:lncRNA from 1 species